UUGUUCUUGUUUUUCUUCAUAUCGUAUAAAUCUUUCGCCUUUUACUAAAAAUUUCCGUGGAGAGAAAUAUUGCGAGUACUAUCAAUUUUUUUGUGGCUUCACUUCAUCGUGGGGC